rnacentral:rRNA from 1 species
UACGUAGGUGGCAAGCGUUACUCGGAAUCACUGGGCGUAAAGGGCGCGUAGGCGGCCAUUCAAGUCGGGGGUGAAAGCCUGUGGCUCAACCACAGAAUUGCCUUCGAUACUGUUUGGCUUGAGUUUGGUAGAGGUUGGUGGAACUGCGAGUGUAGAGGUGAAAUUCGUAGAUAUUCGCAAGAACACCAGUGGCGAAGGCGGCCAACUGGACCAAUACUGACGCUGAGGCGCGAAAGCGUGGGGAGCGAACAGG